UACGUAGGGUGCGAGCGUUGUCCGGAAUUAUUGGGCGUAAAGGGCUCGUAGGCGGUUUGUCGCGUCGGGAGUGAAAAACACCGGGCUUAACUCGGUGCUUGCUUUCGAUACGGGCAGACUAGAGGCAUGCAGGGGAGAACGGAAUUCCUGGUGUAGCGGUGAAAUGCGCAGAUAUCAGGAGGAACACCGGUGGCGAAGGCGGGUCUCUGGGCCGAUACUGACGCUGAGGAGCGAAAGCGUGGGGAGCGAACAGG
rnacentral:rRNA from 1 species